UACGGGGGGGGCAAGCGUUGUUCGGAAUUACUGGGCGUAAAGGGCGCGUAGGCGGCCUGUUAAGUCAGACGUGAAAUCCCUCGGCUCAACCGGGGAACUGCGUCUGAUACUGUCGGGCUAGAGUGCGGAAGAGGCGAGUGGAAUUCCUGGUGUAGCGGUGAAAUGCGCAGAUAUCAGGAGGAACACCUAUUGCGAAGGCAGCUCGCUGGGACGUAACUGACGCUGAGACGCGAAAGCGUGGGGAGCAAACAGG
rnacentral:rRNA from 1 species